AUUGAACGCUGGCGGCAUGCCUUACACAUGCAAGUCGAACGGCAGCACGGGAGCAAUCCUGGUGGCGAGUGGCGAACGGGUGAGUAAUAUAUCGGAACGUGCCCAGUAGUGGGGGAUAACUGCUCGAAAGAGCAGCUAAUACCGCAUACGACCUGAGGGUGAAAGGGGGGGAUCGCAAGACCUCUCGCUAUUGGAGCGGCCGAUAUCAGAUUAGCUAGUUGGUGGGGUAAAGGCCUACCAAGGCAACGAUCUGUAGUUGGUCUGAGAGGACGACCAGCCACACUGGGACUGAGACACGGCCCAGACUCCUACGGGAGGCAGCAGUGGGGAAUUUUGGACAAUGGGGGCAACCCUGAUCCAGCCAUGCCGCGUGCGGGAAGAAGGCCUUCGGGUUGUAAACCGCUUUCGGCCGGAACGAAAUCGCCCGGGUGAACAUCCCGGGUGGAUGACGGUACCGGAAGAAGAAGCACCGGCUAACUACGUGCCAGCAGCCGCGGUAAAAC
rnacentral:rRNA from 1 species